AGCCUUUUGUCUCAACCAUAAAAGGUUCAUCCUGCUCUAUGAUAAUAUUAAAUGGCCGCGGUAUCCUGACCGUGCAAAGGUAGCAUAAUCAUUUGCCUCUUAAUUAGAGGCUGGAAUGAAUGGACACACGAAAUCUCUACUGUCUCAUAAGUUUUAAUAAAAGUUUUUCUCUGAGUGAAGAAACUCAGAUUAAUUUGAAAGACAAGAAGACCCUAAUGAGCUUUAAUUCUUCUAAGUUUACUACUUAAAUUUUAAUUAUAAACAAAAUCUAGAUGAAUUUUUGUUGGGGCGACAAAAGAAACUCAAUAACUUCUUUACAUUAAACUAGAGCUAUAGCUCUCUAUAAUUGACCUAAUUUUAAUUAAUCAAUAGCACUAGCUACCAUAGGGAUAACAGACUAAUUUUUCUCAAGAGCUCAAAUUUACAGAAAAGAUUGGCACCUCGAUGUUGGCUUAGAGGCCCCUUAUGAUGCAGCAGUCAUAAAUGGUGGGUUUGUUCAACCCUUAAUACUCU
rnacentral:rRNA from 1 species